rnacentral:rRNA from 1 species
AGAGUUUGAUCAUGGCUCAGAUUGAACGCUGGCGGAAUGCUUUACACAUGCAAGUCGAACGGCAGCACGGACUUCGGUCUGGUGGCGAGUGGCGAACGGGUGAGUAAUAUAUCGGAACGUAUCCAAUAAUGGGGGAUAACUAAUCGAAAGGUUGGCUAAUACCGCAUACGCCCUACGGGGGAAAGCUAGGGACCUUCGGGCCUGGCGUUAAUGGAGCGGCCGAUAUCUGAUUAGCUAGUUGGUGAGGUAAAGGCUCACCAAGGCGACGAUCAGUAGCUGGUCUGAGAGGACGACCAGCCACACUGGAACUGAGACACGGUCCAGACUCCUACGGGAGGCAGCAGUGGGGAAUUUUGGACAAUGGGGGAAACCCUGAUCCAGCAAUGCCGCGUGUGCGAAGAAGGCCUUCGGGUUGUAAAGCACUUUUGUCAGGGAAGAAAUCCUUUGGGCUAAUACCCUAGGGGGAUGACGGUACCUGAAGAAUAAGCACCGGCUAACUACGUGCCAGCAGCCGCGGUAAUACGUAGGGUGCAAGCGUUAAUCGGAAUUACUGGGCGUAAAGCGUGCGCAGGCGGUUGUGUAAGACAGGUGUGAAAUCCCCGGGCUUAACCUGGGAAUUGCAUUUGUGACUGCACGACUAGAGUGUGUCAGAGGGGGGUGGAAUUCCACGUGUAGCAGUGAAAUGCGUAGAUAUGUGGAGGAACACCAAUGGCGAAGGCAGCCCCCUGGGAUAACACUGACGCUCAUGCACGAAAGCGUGGGGAGCAAACAGGAUUAGAUACCCCGGUAGUCC